GCCGGAGUGCUGAAAUGGCAGACAGGCUCGGCUCAAACCGAGUGGGGCAACCGUGUGGGUUCGAGUCCCACCUCCGGCA
rnacentral:tRNA from 1 species